UAGAAGCUUGUCGUGAUAUGGACUCUCGGAUCCGUUUGAGUGCAGCUCGAGCUCUUCCGGCCGCCAGUUUGCGCAGGGGGCCCGUAAAGACGUCGUCCUCGCUCUCGAGGUCCCGACACCGUCCUCGUUCCCGCCUAGGCCCCCAGGUCAGGCGGAACGAUGUCUUGUGAAGAAAGCCUCGUGUUGCGCUGUGGUCUGGGUGGACUUCUGAGGUGUGACCGUGGAUUCUUUUGAUCACAAAGAACGGAUCGGGUGAGUAGAUGGGUGGAACUUGCUCCGGCGGGUACUGUUAGUACCCACACCUGAUCGCCCCCUUGAUAUAGGUGAGGCCUGCGCUUUACUUUGUGAUGCUUGUCGUUGUUGGCGUUUGGUCUGCUCUUUUUCCCUCAUUUCAGCCAGCUCCCGACUACCGCCCGGAAUCCCAUGGCCGCCGAUGGGGUUACGCCUGUCGCAACGUGUGGAGUGUCCCUAUAGUCCGCCAAAGCCGUGGCUAGCGCAUACUCCAUGCCCACAGGCGUUUGGUCCGAUAGCUUGAUGGACUUGCCGAUUAUUUUCUAGCGCACUCUGCUGGAUUGCUCCGCGGGUGAUGGGCGGUGAGAAUGAGUGAACUUGACUGGUGUCCCAUAUUUGGCACAUAUUGGAACGCAUGGCGACAAUCGUGUGUUCGCC